GCGGGAUUAGUUUAAUGGCAAAACAUCUGGUUGCCAAUCAGAUGACGGGAGUUCGAUUCUCCCAUCCCGCA
rnacentral:tRNA from 1 species